rnacentral:rRNA from 1 species
ACGAACGCUGGCGGCAGGCUUAACACAUGCAAGUCGAGCGCCCCGCAAGGGGAGCGGCAGACGGGUGAGUAACACGUGGGAAUGUGCCUUUCGGUUCGGAAUAACCCAGGGAAACUUGGACUAAUACCGGAUACGCCCUUCGGGGGAAAGAUUUAUUGCCGAAAGAUCGGCCCGCGUCUGAUUAGCUAGUUGGUGAGGUAAUGGCUCACCAAGGCGAUGAUCAGUAGCUGUUCUGAGAGGAAGAUCAGCCACACUGGGACUGAGACACGGCCCAGACUCCUACGGGAGGCAGCAGUGGGGAAUAUUGGACAAUGGGGGAAACCCUGAUCCAGCCAUGCCGCGUGAGUGAUGAAGGCCUUAGGGUUGUAAAGCUCUUUACCAGGGAAGAUAAUGACUGUACCUGGAGAAUAACGCCCCGG